ACUCAGCUGCACACUUGGAGCUAGCAGCUUGGAGGAACCGAGUCGUCACAAGAUGCUGGUCAACCAACCAGAAGCGAAGCUUAAAAAACGUUCGGCCAUCGAGACAUUCAUGUAAAGCAGAGACUCUGUGAGCAUGUGCCGGCGUGCUGCGGGGUUCUGCCGCAAUCCUGUGGGUGCUGUAGCGGACAUGAUGUGUAACAGGUGUAAGGAGGUGCAGAGGGCAGACGUCCGCAGCUGCUGCGCUGAGCGCCGGCCACGUCGUCUCCCAUCUGCCCCCGGUGUCCCACAAAGCCCGUAAGAGCCCGGCUAAAGGCGUUGAACCCGAGCUGAACGUCAGAGACAGGUCGUGCUGAAUGCUGGAAGGACUUUUAUUUCUGAGUAGCUGGGAAAGGAUCCUUGACCAGGAGUGCUUCACUGGAACUGAGAGAGGCUUACCUGCACAGAUUCCAGCAUGUGGCCUCAUGACAGCUUCACCAACAGAUGCUUUG